rnacentral:snoRNA from 20 species
GGCCCUGAUGAUAACGGUGUCUCUUCUUUCCUCGUCCGAUUCGACCAUGACGACAAGGGAUUUUAUCUCGUUCUCUUAAUGCGAGUGAUUUUGAAAAGGUGAAUAUUGCUUCGGUGAUAUCUCUUCCUUUUCAUGAUCAUUAGUGUUUGCAAACGGGAACUUUUCUUGCCAGUGUUAUACAACACAUGCAGAUCUGAGCC